rnacentral:sRNA from 23 species
UAUAAAAAGCUUUGCUCACUCAAGGGAAGUCUUGCUCAUCCCCUUCUGAAAGGGGGUGAUAAAAAUGACAGCAUAUGAAACAAUCUCUUUAAUGAUUGCUUUUGGCAUGCUGAUUGCCAUGUUGUCAGAGAACAAAGAAAAAUAGACCGCCCCUUGAGCCUGGAAAGUGAUAGGGAGUGGUCUAUUUUAGGUCAAUCUGAGCAAGCCCCUUCGAAGGGCCGGCUUUUUGUACAAGCCGAAGUGUUGGAGCACUUCGG